UCAAAGUUAUGAAAGAAAUCUUUUUUUCUUCUAGAGAAGUUGUUAGAUUCUGGAAGAACUUGUGUUAGGCAUUUCAAGUUUCUAUAGCUUUUCUUAUUUUCAAGGCUCCAUACAAAGAUGUCACAAUGUUGCAGGAGGCAGUAAUCUGCCACGGAAGAAACGUAAUCACUUGCAUUUAAGACACCGAGAGUCUGACCUAGAGAAGAAAAGGAAUCAAAACCAACAGGCUAUGCGUAUGCGUUCCUGAUUUCUUUGGUGAGUUGAGUAUUGGUAAGUUUGUGUCAAGCAAUCGAAAGAGAAGGGUGCUGUAAUUUGAGUUUUACGUCAGAGCUAUAAGAAACACCGAGAAACUUUGCUGUGAGCUCAUCACCUCCGACGGUGGCAAGCCGACGUAUUGACCCAUCCGACAUAUCUGAUAUGACGGCAGAGGUUUGCCGUCGUCGGACAGCUUCAGCUUGUGUUGGUGGUUGAUGAAUAGUUUUGGCUCUAUGACAUCCUAGUAAGACAAAAACAACCCCCCUCCCCUCGUUGUUAAGAAGAGUAGGAUGAGGUUACUGUUAAGAUUGUGAAGCAUUGGGUACUAGAGACUUGUGAACUCGAGUGAGGGAUCAGACCUACUUACUACACCCCAAAAGUCUCUCCUUGCCAAAUUGUCAGCUUUAAAAUUUAGCUUCCCUCUUUUACGAUAUGCUCAAAAAAAUUAAUCAACGAAUCUUCGACUCCUUCGCUGCAA